GACGAACGCUGGCGGCAUGCCUAAUACAUGCAAGUUGAACGAUGAUAUUCUCUGCUUGCAGAGACUUGAAGAGUAGCGAACGGGUGAGUAACACGUGGGGAACCUGCCCAUGAGAGGGGGAUAACAUUCGGAAACGGAUGCUAAUACCGCAUAAUGCUUUGGACCGCCUGGUCCAGAGACGAAAGACGGCUUUUGCUGUCACUCAUGGAUGGCCCCGCGCCGUAUUAGCUAGUUGGUGAGGUAAUGGCUCACCAAAGCUGUGAUACGUAGCCGACCUGAGAGGGUGAUCGGCCACACUGGGACUGAGACACGGCCCAGACUCCUACGGGAGGCAGCAGUAGGGAAUCUUCCACAAUGGGCGAAAGCCUGAUGGAGCAAUGCCGCGUGAAUGAAGAAGGUCUUCGGAUCGUAAAGUUCUGUUAUUAGAGAAGAACAAGUCAAGGAGUAACUGUCUUGACUUUGACGGUACCUAACCAGAAAGUCACGGCUAACUACGUG
rnacentral:rRNA from 1 species